GACGAACGCUGGCGGCGUGCUUAACACAUGCAAGUCGAACGGAAAGGCCCUGCUUUUGUGGGGUGCUCGAGUGGGGAACGGGUGAGUAACAGGUGAGUAACCUGCCCUUGACUUUGGGAUAACUUCAGGAAACUGGGGCUAAUACCGGACAGGAGCUCCUGUUGCAUGGUGGGGGUUGGAUCGUUUCGGCGGUUGGGGAUGGACUCGCGGCUUAUCAGCUUGUUGGUUGGGGAGUGGCAUACCAAGGCUUUGACGGGUAGCCGGCCUGAGAGGGUGCACGGCCACAUUGGGACUGAGAUACGGCCCAGACUCCUACGGGAGGCAGCAGUGGGGAAUAUUGCACAAUGGGCGGAAGCCUGAUGCAGCGACGCCGCGUGCGGGAUGACGGCCUUCGGGUUGUAAACCGCUUUCGCCUGAGACGAAGCGUGAGUGACGGUAAUGGGUGAAGAAGCACCGGCUAACUACGUG
rnacentral:rRNA from 1 species